UAGCUAUUUCGAACUAAUUAGCUCUCAUCAGCCAAACAUACCCUUCUGAGAUUCGAACCUGGGCUGCUUGCACUUUAGGCAGCUGUGUUAACUUCUAGGCCACAGGCUCUUUCUCACUUUGUCAGCCGUGUCAGGGAAGGAAGAGACAGGGGUGGACAUGCACGGGAGGGGGAUGCGGACUUUCUGGAUCUCCCUCUUCUUGCAGGUUCCAACCAACUGCUUUGUAUCUCACCGAGGUCCCCAGGCUGUAGCCAAAAUAGCUGCGAUUAGAAUAAGCAGAUAAAGCAGCGUUAUGCUGGCAUUGAAGGCAAGCAGAGGCAGUGGACAGAGCAGGCAGGGCUCACUCCCAACGUCUAGCCUGGGAUCCGGGGCAGCUCCUUUAGACUAACAGACUGCCUGCUAGCUAAGCACUCAGAGCUGGCAGCCUGGCGAGCGAAUCUGACUGCACGCUACGGUUGAGCUGCUGCCAAAAAGGCCACCCCCAUUUCUCCUCUGCUGAUUCCCUUCCCGGGACAGCCUCGUAUGCUCUCUUGCUCGCCUCCUGCGGAUGAGGCAGUGGCAUCCUGACUGUGGGAGAUGGAGGAGCCCUGCUGAGUGGAGGCGCUUCCAAAGAAACAGGACCCGGGCGAGGGAAAGAUCCCUUCUGACUUUUAGGGGCCUGUCAAGCUGCAAAGAAUGCUUACACUGCUCCAUCCAUUACUACUUCUUAGCUUGCCUACAGACGUGGGAGGGAAGGGAAGAAUGGAAUACAGGCUUCAGACAUCGGGCUGCCAAAUGUGAGAACCAAGGUCAUCCAACAACUGUUUACUGAGAACUGACAUUCUCUCAUAACAAUUGUCUGACAUUUUAUUGGAUAAUGUGAUCUGCACUAAUAGGGAGGAGGGAGAUUCUAUACUUUAAUAUACUGAUUUAGGUGCCAAUUAACCAGAGCUGGUUUUCUAUUCAUCUGUGCCAAAAUGGUGUGCUCAAUAAAGUUUUGCAUUAGAGAUUG